CUAACUCCGUGCCAGCAGCCGCGGUAAUACGGAGGGUGCAAGCGUUAUCCGGAUUUAUUGGGUUUAAAGGGUCCGUAGGCGGAUGUGUAAGUCAGUGGUGAAAUCUCACAGCUUAACUGUGAAACUGCCAUUGAUACUGCAUGUCUUGAGUGUUGUUGAAGUAGCUGGAAUAAGUAGUGUAGCGGUGAAAUGCAUAGAUAUUACUUAGAACACCAAUUGCGAAGGCAGGUUACUAAGCAACAACUGACGCUGAUGGACGAAAGCGUGGGGAGCGAACAGGAUUAGAUACCCUGGUAGUCCACGCCGUAAACGAUGCUAACUCGUUUUUGGGUUUUCGGAUUCAGAGACUAAGCGAAAGUGAUAAGUUAGCCACCUGGGGAGUACGAACGCAAGUUUGAAACUCAAAGGAAUUGACGGGGGCCCGCACAAGCGGUGGAUUAUGUGGUUUAAUUCGAUGAUACGCGAGGAACCUUACCAAGGCUUAAAUGGGAAAUGACAGGUUUAGAAAUAGACUUUUCUUCGGACAUUUUUCAAGGUGCUGCAUGGUUGUCGUCAGCUCGUGCCGUGAGGUGUUAGGUUAAGUCCUGCAACGAGCGCAACCCCUGUCACUAGUUGCCAUCAUUAAGUUGGGGACUCUAGUGAGACUGCCUACGCAAGUAGAGAGGAAGGUGGGGAUGACGUCAAAUCAUCACGGCCCUUACGCCUUGGGCCACACACGUAAUACAAUGGCCGGUACAGAGGGCAGCUACACUGCGAAGUGAUGCAAAUCUCGAAAGCCGGUCUCAGUUCGGAUUGGAGUCUGCAACUCGACUCUAUGAAGCUGGAAUCGCUAGUAAUCGCGCAUCAGCCAUGGCGCGGUGAAUACGUUCCCGGGCCUUGUACACACCGCCCGUCAAGCCAUGGAAGUCUGGGGUACCUGAAGUCGGUGACCGUAACAGGAGCUGCCUAGGGUAAAACAGGUAACUAGGGCUAAGUCGUAACAAGGUAGCCGUACCGGAAGGUGCGGCUGGAACAUCUCAUUU
rnacentral:rRNA from 1 species